rnacentral:rRNA from 1 species
GACGAACGCUGGCGGCGUGCCUAAUACAUGCAAGUCGAACGCAGUGGGGACGGGUGAGUAACACGUGGGUAACCUCCCAUCAGAGGGGAUAACACUUGGAAACAGGCGCGAAACCGAACCUGCAUGAUGGAACCGCGGUGCAUUAGCUAGUUGGUGAGGUAACGGCUAACCAAGGCCACGAUGCAUAGGCGACCUGAGAGGGUGAUAGGCCACACUGGGACUGAGACACGGCCCAUACUCCUACGGGAGGCAGCAGUGGGGAAUCUUCGGCAAUGGACGAAAGUCUGACCGAGCCACGCCGCGUGAGUGAAGAAGGUUUUCGGAUCGUAAAACUCUGUUGUUAGAGAAGCGGUAUCUAACCAGAAAGCCACGGCUAACUACGUGCCAGCAGCCGCGGUAAUAC